GAGUUUGAUCCUGGCUCAGGAUGAACGCUAGCGGCAGGCUUAAUACACGCAAGUCGUGGGGCAGCGCAGUGUAGCAAUACAUGGGCGGCGACCGGCAAACGGGUGCGGAACACGUACACAACCUUCCUACAAGUGGGGAAUAGCCCAGAGAAAUUUGGAUUAAUACCCCGUAACAUAUAAAGAUGGCAUCAUUUUUAUAUUAUAGCUACGGCGCUUGUUGAUGGGUGUGCGGCUGAUUAGGUAGUUGGCGGGGUAAUGGCCCACCAAGCCUGCGAUCAGUAGCUGAUGUGAGAGCAUGAUCAGCCACACGGGCACUGAGACACGGGCCCGACUCCUACGGGAGGCAGCAGUAAGGAAUAUUGGACAAUGGGCGCAAGCCUGAUCCAGCCAUGCCGCGUGAAGGAUUAAGGUCCUCUGGAUUGUAAACUUCUUUUAUAAGGGACGAAAAAAGGGAAUUCUUUCUCACUUGACGGUACCUUAUGAAUAAGCACCGGCUAACUCCGUGCCAGCAGCCGCGGUAAUACGGAGGGUGCAAGCGUUAUCCGGAUUCACUGGGUUUAAAGGGUGCGUAGGCGGGUAUUUAAGUCAGUGGUGAAAUCCUAGAGCUUAACUCUAGAACUGCCAUUGAUACUAUUUAUCUUGAAUAUUGUGGAGGUAAGCGGAAUAUGUCAUGUAGCGGUGAAAUGCUUAGAUAUGACAUAGAACACCUAUUGCGAAGGCAGCUUACUACGCAUAUAUUGACGCUGAGCACGAAAGCGUGGGGAUCAAACAGGAUUAGAUACCUGGUAGUYCACGCCCUAAACGAUGGAUACUCGAMMUACGCGAUACACUGUGUGUGUCUGAGCGAAAGCWUUAAGUAUCYCACCUGGGAAGUACGACCGCAAGUUGAAACUCWAAAGGAAWUUGGCGGGGGYCSCACAGCGRUGGAARYAU
rnacentral:rRNA from 1 species